rnacentral:rRNA from 1 species
GAUUAAAUAUGUAAGGGCGUACGGUGGAUGCCUAGGCACUAAGAGCCUGAUGAAGGACGCGACUAACAGCGAAAUGCCUCGGGGAGUGGUACGUACACAACGAUCCGGGGGUAUCCGAAUGGGGAAACCCAAUACUGGUUAUGCAGUAUUACACAUAAAUGAAUACAUAGUUUAUGAUGAGGCAACCUUGCGAACUGAAACAUCUUAGUAGCAAGAGGAAAAGAAAACAAAAGUGAUUCCCUGAGUAGUGGCGAGCGAAACGGGAAAAGCCCAAACCAUCUUCGUGAUGGGGUAGUAGGACCACAACGUGGGAUAUCGAAGUCUAGUCGAAUGGCAUUGAAAGGCCAGUCAAAGAAGGUGCAAACCCUGUAGACGAAAGCGUAAGAUACUCUAGUGGUAUCCUGAGUACGGCGAGGCACGAGAAACCUUGUCGGAAUCAACCGGGACCACCCGGUAAGGCUAAAUACUCCUUAGUGACCGAUAGUGAACCAGUACCGUGAGGGAAAGGUGAAAAGAACCGCGGAAGCGGAGUGAAAUAGAUCCUGAAACCGUAUGCUUACAAGAAGUCAGAGCCCGUUAAUGGGUGAUGGCGUGCCUUUUGUAGAAUGAACCGGCGAGUUACUCAUAAUGUGCGAGGUUAAGUUGAAGAGACGGAGCCGAAGCGAAAGCGAGUCUUAAUAGGGCGAUAUAGUACAUUGUGGUAGACCCGAAACUGAGUGAUCUAGCCAUGACCAGGUUGAAGUUUGGGUGAAACCAAAUGGAGGACCGAACCGACCAUCGUUGAAAAGUCUGGCGGAUGAGUUGUGGCUAGCGGAGAAAUUCCAAUCGAACUCAGAUAUACUUGGUUCUCCCCGAAAUAGGCUUUUAGGGCUAGCGUCAAUGUAAGGCCACUGGAGGUAGAGCACUGAAUGUAUGAUGGCCCCAUCUCGGGGUACUGAAUAUAAUCAAACUCCGAAUGCCAGUGGAUAGUAGUUGGCAGUCAGACUAUGGGUGAUAAGGUCCGUAGUCGAAAGGGAAACAGCCCAGACCAUCAGUUAAGGUCCCAAAAUUCAUGCUAAGUGGAAAAGGAUGUGGGGAUGCACAGACAACUAGGAGGUUGGCUCAGAAGCAGCCAUCCUUUAAAGAGUGCGUAACAAGCUCACUAGUCGAGUGACCCUGCGCCGAAAAUGUACCGGGGCUAAGUAUGAUACCGAAACUAUGGAUUUAUUGUUUCAAUAAAUGGUAGGGGAGCGUUCUAUACUGCGUUGAAGUUUGUACCGUAAGGAGCAGUGGAGUGUAUAGAAGUGAGAAUGCCGGUGUGAGUAGCGAGAUGUCAGUGAGAAUCUGACACACCGAUUGCCUAAGGUUUCCAGGGGAAGGCUCGUCCUCCCUGGGUAAGUCGGGACCUAAGAUGAGGCUGAAAAGCGUAGUCGAUGGACAACAGGUUGAUAUUCCUGUACCCGAUACAUAAGUGAAGGAAUGACAGAGAAGGCUAGGUUAUGCCAGCGACUGGAAGUGCUGGUUUAAGCGAAGGAGCCUGUAUGGUAGGCAAAUCCGCCAUGCAAAGCAAAGGCGUUACGAGGAGUGAACCCGUGAGGAAGUAGCGAAGUAACUGAUGCCAGGCUCUCAAGAAAAGUUUCUAGCGUUAAUUAUGUAUUGGCCCGUACCAAAACCGACACAGGUAGGCAAGGAGAGAAUCCUAAGGUGAGCGAGAGAACUGUUGCCAAGGAACUCGGCAAAAUGACCCCGUAACUUCGGGAGAAGGGGUGCUCGUAAGAGCCGCAGUGAAGAGGCCCAAGCGACUGUUUAACUAAAACACAGGCUCUCUGCAAAGUCGCAAGACGAAGUAUAGGGGGUGACACCUGCCCGGUGCUGGAAGGUUAAGGGAAUAUGUUAGAAUUCGUUCGAAGCAUUGAACUGAAGCCCCAGUGAACGGCGGCCGUAACUAUAACGGUCCUAAGGUAGCGAAAUUCCUUGUCGGGUAAGUUCCGACCCGCACGAAAGGUGUAACGAUUUGGGCGCUGUCUCGGCAGCAGACUCGGUGAAAUCUUAGUACCGGUAAAGAUGCCGGUUACCCGCAACUAGACGGAAAGACCCCAUGGAGCCUUACUGUAGGCUUGAUAUUGAACUUUGAGCCUACAUGUACAGGAUAGGUGGGAGACUAUGAAGCAUGUACGCUAGUAUAUGUGGAGUCGCCAUUGGGAUACCACUCUUGUAUGUUUGAAGUUCUAACCGCGUACCGUGAUCCGGUACCGGGAGAGUGUCAGGUGGGCAGUUUGACUGGGGCGGUCGCCUCCUAAAGAGUAACGGAGGCGCCCAAAGGUACCCUCAGAUUGGUUGGAAAUCAAUCGACGAGCGUAAAGGCAGAAGGGUGCUUGACUGCGAGACCUACAAGUCGAGCAGGGACGAAAGUCGGGCUUAGUGAUCCGGCGGUUCCGAGUGGAAGGGCCGUCGCUUAACGGAUAAAAGUCUACCCUGGGGAUAACAGGCUAAUCUCGCCCAAGAGUUCACAUCGACGGCGAGGUUUGGCACCUCGAUGUCGGCUCAUCGCAUCCUGGGUCUGAAUUAGGUUCCAAGGGUUGGGCUGUCCGCCCAUUAAAGCGGUACGCGAGUCUGGGUUCAGAACGUCGUGAGACAGUUCGGUCCCUAUCUGUUGUGGGCGUAGGAAAUUUGAGGAGCGCUGUCCCUAGUACGAGAGGACCGGGAUGGACAUACCGCUGGUGUACCAGUUGUUCUGCCAAGGGCAUCGCUGGGUAGGCUAAGUAUGGACUGGAUAAGCGCUGAAAGCAUCUAAGCACGAAGCCAACUCCAAGAUGAGAUUUCCCAUACGUAAGUAGUAAGACCCCUGAGAGACGAUCAGGUUGAUAGGUCAGAGGUGGAAGCAUAGUGAUAUGUGGAGCCUGACUGAUACUAAUAGGUCGAGGUUUUAAUCAC